rnacentral:lncRNA from 1 species
GACCUAAGUCAUUCAUAUGGAAGGAUGAACUCAAGGAUUGUUGAAGUUAUGAACAAAGUUAGUGCUUAUAAGAAGAAUGUCAUCCAUAACAUCUAAUGUUUGAUGAAUAAAUAAGUUGCACAAAAGAAAGCUUCCUCAAAGUAGAACAUAAUUUCUUAAACCAUGCAUGAGGAGCUUCUUUCAAACUAUGAACGUUUCAACUUGCAAACAUUCUCAGAAAAAGAAUUGGGCAGACCCAACAAGAGUCACGUAUAGAUGUCCUUUUUGAGAUCACCAUGAAGAAACAUAUUUUUUAUAUUUAUCUGGUAAAAGAGGCCAAGACCAGGAAGCAACAAUGGUCAAAAUUGUCCGAAUUGUUGUCACGACAUGAUAUCCCAUGUUUGAUUUUAUUGGUUAGAAAUAUACCAUUGGUAUAGAUUAAGGUAUAUAUCGUAGCCUUCAUGAUAUAGAGAAUGAGGAGUGAUGGAUCAGCCUGAGAGCUAUGAAAACCCAAGGAAAUUAAGUAGCUAUGGAGACGAUUGAACCAAAUCCAGGACGCCUGUUUUGAUGUAUACAAAGACCGAUGAAGUUUGUAAAUAUGAUGCGACGAAGUAAGAUCAACAAAACCUGGGUGUUGCUGCAUAUACACAUCAGUGUUAAGAUGCCUAUUGAGAAAGGCACUAUGCACAUCUAACUAACGAACCAGUCGGCCAUGAGAGGGACUGAUGCUCAAGACUAUUUGAAUUGUGUACGGUUUGAAAACCAGGUUGAUCAUCUCCUCAAAAUCAACCCCUCCUGAUACCAUUUGGCCACAAGGCACGCCUUAUAGCAUUUAACAUAAUCAUUUACACCCAUUUACAACUCACAAUAUUCAUGAAAACAGAGUAGGAACGAGCAACCAUGUGUUAUUACAAAUAAGGGUUGAACUCAGGAUUAGUACGGUGACAAGAACUAGUUGAGAAGUAUAUUGACAAUGAUAUAAGGUCAUAGCAUGAUGCAGAUACGAUGGCAUAGAGGAGAAAACGGUAAAGAAAGAGGAGAGGAGGGACUAAGAUCGACCAAGACGUUAAGACGAAGUAAGGAAAACGAAGAUAAAAAUGAAAAAAAGAGAAUGAAAGACAAUACGAGACGGUGAUAAGGACGAGGGUAAGUCAAAAAAGGGGAGGGAGAUCGAAGGAAGGAAGAAGAUUGAGUUGUUGAUAGGGAUGGAAAGGAAUGAAGGCUUAGAAAAGUUUGGCUAGGAUAAUAGACCCCAAGUGUCUAAUGAGGAAGAGGAGAGGAGUCCGAAGGAAGUGCAAUGACGUCUAAUAUUAAAAAAUACAAAUCCAUACAAUGAUAAUCAAUAUGAAAAAAGGCUAUGGCCAAGAAAAACACAUGGAGAAGAGCGAUAGUUCAUUUUAUGAUGAUAGUACGAGCAAAGAAAGUAGAAAACUCGAGCAAUGAACAAUGCCGACAUCACAGAGAUGGAUUCAUAGCCACAAUCUAUCUAGAGCUGUUUAAUGCUAGUGUUGAAUUGCUUUUCAACCAUGGUAUAAAAUUGAAUAAAAACACUAAAGCAUAUGAUUUAGCACGCAUGGAAAAAUACCUUGUAAAUUUGGAAAAAUGGCCUGUAAAAACAAUGAAGUGAAGGCGGUACCCUUCAAAUGAGAACGUGGAAGAGGGACCCGAACAUCACUAAACAAUAACCCCAACAAAGCAGAGUUCAUAUGUUUUGAACGACCUAAUGACAAUCUACUAGAUCUGUACAAAGGACAAGCAGUAUACUGAAAAGAUGAGCUAGAAAAAAAUAACCAAAAUUGUGUUUAUUCAAAAACAAGUGAUGGAAGACGUCAGUGUGAGG